CUACGGGUCGCUCCAGUGGGGAAUAUUGCACAAUGGAGGAAACUCUGAUGCAGCAACGCCGCGUGGAGGAUGACACUUUUCGGAGCGUAAACUCCUUUUAUCUAGGAAGAAGAUGACGGUACUAUAUGAAUAAGCGCCGGCUAACUCCGUGCCAGCAGCCGCGGUAAUACGGAGGGCGCAAGCGUGUACUCGGAAUCACUGGGCGUAAAGAGCGUGUAGGCGGAUUAAAAAGUCAGAAGUGAAAUCCUAUGGCUUAACUAUAGAACUGCUUCCGAAACUGUUAAUCUAGAAUAUGGGAGAGGUAGAUGGAAUUACUGGUGUAGGGGUAAAAUCCGUAGAGAUCAGAAGGAAUACCGAUUGCGAAGGCGAUCUACUAGAACAUUAUUGACGCUGAGACGUGAAAGCGUGGGGAGCAAACAGGAUUAGAUACCCCCGUAGUC
rnacentral:rRNA from 1 species